rnacentral:rRNA from 1 species
UCCGUAGGUAACCUGCGGAAGGAUCAUUAC